CCCGCCGGAGGACCCCAAACUC
rnacentral:rRNA from 1 species